AUCAUGAGUUCACAUGUCCGCAUGAUUAAAGGUAUUUUCCGGUAGACGAUGGGGAUGCGUUCCAUUAGAUAGUAGGCGGGGUAACGGCCCACCUAGUCAACGAUGGAUAGGGGUUCUGAGAGGAAGGUCCCCCACAUUGGAACUGAGACACGGUCCAAACUCCUACGGGAGGCAGCAGUGAGGAAUAUUGGUCAAUGGGCGAUGGCCUGAACCAGCCAAGUAGCGUGAAGGAUGACUGCCCUAUGGGUUGUAAACUUCUUUUAUAAAGGAAUAAAGUCGGGUAUGCAUACCCGUUUGCACGUACUUUAUGAAUAAGGAUCGGCUAACUCCGUGCCAGCAGCCGCGGUAAUACGGAGGAUCCGAGCGUUAUCCGGAUUUAUUGGGUUUAAAGGGAGCGUAGAUGGAUGUUUAAGUCAGUUGUGAAAGUUUGCGGCUCAACCGUAAAAAUGCAGUUGAUACUGGAUGUCUUGAGUGCAGUUGAGGCAGGCGGAAUUCGUGGUGUAGCGGUGAAAUGCUUAGAUAUCACGAAGAACUCCGAUUG
rnacentral:rRNA from 1 species